rnacentral:tRNA from 1 species
GGUAGUAGCUCAGUUGGUAGAGCAUCAGCUUCCCAAGCUGAGGGCCGCGGGUUCGACCCCCGUUUAC